AUGAACGCUGGCGGCGUGCCUAAUACAUGCAAGUCGAGCGAACGGACGAGAAGCUUGCUUCUCUGAUGUUAGCGGCGGACGGGUGAGUAACACGUGGAUAACCUACCUAUAAGACUGGGAUAACUUCGGGAAACCGGAGCUAAUACCGGAUAAUAUUUUGAACCGCAUGGUUCAAAAGUGAAAGACGGUCUUGCUGUCACUUAUAGAUGGAUCCGCGCUGCAUUAGCUAGUUGGUAAGGUAACGGCUUACCAAGGCAACGAUGCAUAGCCGACCUGAGAGGGUGAUCCGCCACACGGGAACUGAGACACGGUCCAGACUCCUACGGGAGGCAGCAGUAGGGAAUCUUCCGCGAUGGGCGAAAGCCGGACGGAGCAAAGCCGCGUGAGUGAUGAAGGUCUUCGGAUCGUAAAACUCUGUUAUUAGGGAAGAACAUAUGUGUAAGUAACUGUGAAGAUCAUGACGGUACCUAAUCAGAAAGCCACGGCUAACUACGUG
rnacentral:rRNA from 1 species